AACAAUGAGUCACUCCAAAACUCAUGCCAAAAUUCUUCGACUCUAUUUUUAUGAGACAAAUCUCCGGUGGUGUAUUUCUCAGUAAAACAUGCAAUGGCGUUAACAGGGUGGAUUGAGGGGGACGAGAGUGCGGAAGAUAUGCUAUCUCGGCUUCUAACUGAUGGCUCUCCCUUCUUUUUCCUUCCUCCACUUCACAGGCUUCCUCUCCGUGUCGGCAAUGUUCUUGAGCUCGUUGGCCCCCCUUCAUCUGCCAAAACCCAAAUCCUUCUUCAGGCUGCAAUCAGUUGCAUCCUUCCCAAAGAGUGGAAUGGGUUGCACUACGGUGGAUUGGGGCGUCUGGUGAUGGUCCUCGACUUGGAUUGUCGUUUCGAUGUUUCAUGUCUUGCAAAAUUUCUAAAGCAUCGGAUAAUGGAAGCUAAUGGAUUGAGCAGUAAAGAUCAUCACGAGCAACAACUUGGUGACGAAUCAAAUUCCCAUUCAAAAAGGAAACCUAAUAUCUUUUAUGAUGAGGAACUAUUUGCAGUGUGCAUGAGACGGUUCUUGUAUGUUCGUUGUUAUGACAGCUUUGAAUUUCUAACCACUCUUAAGACAUUGCAUUAUAGGCUUAAAAAGGAAAGUGAAGCGCAUGGAAUUAGUGUUCAUUGCCUUCUUAUUGACAGCAUUGGAGCUUUUCAUUGGGUUGAUCGGGCUUGUAGACCCUUGCCAGUGGGUGGUGAUAAUAGGAAAAGUUUGUCUCUCUUGGGGGUAUUAGAAACCAUUGUUCAAGAGAUCAACAAUCUUUUACUGGUUCAUCCCUUGGUUGUUAUAGCUACUAAAACCACCAUUAUAGGUGAUAAAAGUUCAACUAAUGAGAUUCCACGGAAACCACUUGUUGGUCUUGGCUCGGUUAAAAAAACCAAAAAAAGACUUGUCACUUCCACCUAGGUGAAAGAGUCGACAUGUUGGUUUUUUUCUGAAUGUAGAAAGUAAAAAACAACACAUUGUAUGAAUGCAGCUGCAAGAGACAACAAAUCAGUUUCUUAGGUUCUUACAGAAGAAACAGCAAAUUUGUUUGUUGUCUAAGGCCUCCUUUCCAAAUUCAUGACUAUUGGUUUCUCUUCUAUAAUUCAACAAUUGAGACACACAUCCCAAGAUCCGACAACCAAAGGGUUCAACGACGAUGACAAGGUAGAUCUAAGGUCACAGUGGUAGAGUUGAAUCGACAAUGGCAAAGACAACAAAGGAGAAGAAAUUGAGUAAGCGAUGGUGGUUGAGGUGAUGAACUUGAGAACAAAGAAGUUUUGGCAGUGAAGGUCGUAACAGUGACAUCUAGAGUUGACUAAAGCUGUGGUGAUGGAGGUCACAACAGAAGAAAUUGGUAGAGCAAGAUAUCGGGGCCAUGAAGGCACAUUGGUGAGGUUCCUACAACUCUAAUACCAUGUUGAUUAUAGGAAAGGAAGUUGGGAAAUUGGUCUGCAACAAACAACUUAUGUUCAAGAGAUUCAAAAUGUAAAACUCAGCAUCUCCCUUAUCACGAGUACAUGCCUUCUAUUUGGCAG